rnacentral:tRNA from 1 species
GAGGUCGCAGCUCAGUGGUAGAGCACAUGCCUGAUGUGCAUGAGGCCCAGGGUUCAAUCCUCAGUACCUUA